AGGACGAACGCUGGCGGCGUGCUUAACACAUGCAAGUCGAGCGGAAAGGCCCUUCGGGGUACUCGAGCGGCGAACGGGUGAGUAACACGUGAGCAACCUGCCCUUAGCUCUGGGAUAGCUCCGGGAAACCGGAAUUAAUACCGGAUAUGACCUAGGCCGACAUCGGCCGUGGUGGAAAGUUUUUCGGCUAGGGAUGGACUCGCGGCCUAUCAGCUAGUUGGUGGGGUAAUGGCCUACCAAGGCGACGACGGGUAGCCGGCCUGAGAGGGCGACCGGCCACACUGGGACUGAGACACGGCCCAGACUCCUACGGGAGGCAGCAGUGGGGAAUCUUGCGCAAUGGGCGAAAGCCUGACGCAGCGACGCCGCGUGGGGAUGAAGGCCUUCGGGUGUAAACCCCUUCAGCAGGGACGAAGCGAAAGUGACGGUACCUGCAGAAGAAGCGCCGGCUAACUACGCGCCAGCAGCCGC
rnacentral:rRNA from 1 species